GAGAAGAUUCAGUGGAGAGACGCCACUCUUCCUCGCAUCGUUCCCAUAAGAGGAAAGCUAGAGAACACAGUGAUGAAGAUAGGGAAUUAGAGGAUAAGAAAAUUAGGGUUUCUGAGAGUAAGAGUGAGGGAAAGAGGGAACGGAGAAAAUUUGGGGAUAAAGUUAAGAAGGAAGAUGAUGUUCACAUUGAAAAAGAAGAACAAGAUGAGAAACAGAACUUUAAUGGUGCUCAUGACUCUUCCUCUCCCAAUGGGAACGUUUCUCUUCAAAAUGUGAGUUCUAUUGACACUUUGUUUAUC
rnacentral:lncRNA from 1 species